GGUUAACCUGGCCUGUAAGACUUGGAAUAAUUCCGGGAACCGGGGCUAAUACCGGAUUAUUUCAUUUCCUGGCCAUGAGGAAUUGUUGAAAGGUGGCUUCGGCUAUCACUUACAGAUGGACCCGCGGCGCAUUAGCUAGUUGGUGAGGUAACGGCUCACCAAGGCAACGAUGCGUAGCCGACCUGAGAGGGUGAUCGGCCACACUGGGACUGAGACACGGCCCAGACUCCUACGGGAGGCAGCAGUAGGGAAUCUUCCGCAAUGGACGAAAGUCUGACGGAGCAACGCCGCGUGAGUGAUGAAGGUUUUCGGAUCGUAAAGCUCUGUUGUUAGGGAAGAACAAGUGCCGUUCGAAUAGGGCGGCACCUUGACGGUACCUAACCAGAAAGCCACGGCUAACUACGUGCCAGCAGCCGCGGUAAUACGUAGGUGGCAAGCGUUGUCCGGAAUUAUUGGGCGUAAAGCGCGCGCAGGUGGUUCCUUAAGUCUGAUGUGAAAGCCCACGGCUCAACCGUGGAGGGUCAUUGGAAACUGGGGAACUUGAGUGCAGAAGAGGAAAGUGGAAUUCCAAGUGUAGCGGUGAAAUGCGUAGAUAUUUGGAGGAACACCAGUGGGGAAGGCG
rnacentral:rRNA from 2 species